CGUAGGGUGCAAGCGUUAAUCGGAAUUACUGGGCGUAAAGCGUGCGCAGGCGGUUUCGCAAGACGGAUGUGAAAUCCCCGGGCUCAACCUGGGAACUGCAUUUGUGACUGCGAGGCUAGAGUGUGUCAGAGGGAGGUGGAAUUCCGCGUGUAGCAGUGAAAUGCGUAGAGAUGCGGAGGAACACCGAUGGCGAAGGCAGCCUCCUGGGACGGCACUGACGCUCAGGCACGAAAGCGUGGGAGCAAACAGGAUU
rnacentral:rRNA from 1 species